rnacentral:rRNA from 1 species
UACGAAGGGGGCUAGCGUUGUUCGGAAUUACUGGGCGUAAAGGGCGCGUAGGCGGCUCUGAUUGUCGGAUGUUAAAGGCCUGGGCUCAACCUGGGAACGGCAUCCGAUACGGCGGGGCUUGAGUGUGGGAGAGGUUGGUGGAAUUCCCAGUGUAGAGGUGAAAUUCGUAGAUAUUGGGAAGAACACCGGCGGUGUAGACGGCUUUCUGGACCGUAGCUGACGCUGAGACACGAAAGCGUGGGUAGCAAUCAGG